rnacentral:rRNA from 1 species
UAAUACGGAGGGUGCAAGCGUUAUCCGGAUUCACUGGGUUUAAAGGGUGCGUAGGCGGGCAGGUAAGUCAGUGGUGAAAUCUCAGAGCUUAACUCUGAAACUGCCGUUGAUACUAUCUGUCUUGAAUAUUGUGGAGGUAAGCGGAAUAUGUCAUGUAGCGGUGAAAUGCUUAGAUAUGACAUAGAACACCUAUUGCGAAGGCAGCUUACUACGCAAUCAUUGACGCUGAGGCACGAAAGCGUGAGGAUCAAACAGGAUUAGAUACCCUGGUAGUUCACGCCCUAAACUAUGGAUACUCGACAUCAGCGAUACACAGUUGGUGUCUGAGCGAAAGCAUUAAGUAUCCCACCUGGGAAGUACGACCGCAAGGUUG